rnacentral:rRNA from 1 species
AUGAACGCUGGCGGCGUGCCUAAUACAUGCAAGUCGCGCGAACAGACGAGGAGCUUGCUCCUCUGACGUUAGCGGCGGACGGGUGAGUAACACGUGGAUAACCUACCUAUAAGACUGGGAUAACUUCGGGAAACCGGAGCUAAUACCGGAUAAUAUAUUGAACCGCAUGGUUCAAUAGUGAAAGACGGUUUUGCUGUCACUUAUAGAUGGAUCCGCGCCGCAUUAGCUAGUUGGUAAGGUAACGGCUUACCAAGGCAACGAUGCGUAGCCGACCUGAGAGGGUGAUCGGCCACACUGGAACUGAGACACAGUCCAGACUCCUACGGGAGGCAGCAGUAGGGAAUCUUCCGCAAUGGGCGAAAGCCUGACGGAGCAACGCCGCGUGAGUGAUGAAGGUCUUCGGAUCGUAAAACUCUGUUAUUAGGGAAGAACAAAUGUGUAAGUAACUAUGCACGUCUUGACGGUACCUAAUCAGAAAGCCACGGCUAACUACGUG